GAUGAACGCUGGCGGCGUGCUUAACACAUGCAAGUCGAACGGAAAGGCCCAAGCUUGCUUGGGUACUCGAGUGGCGAACGGGUGAGUAACGCGUGGGUGAUCUGCCCUGCACUUCGGGAUAAGCCUGGGAAACUGGGUCUAAUACCGGAUAGGACGAUGGUUUGGAUGCCAUUGUGGAAAGUUUUUUCGGUGUGGGAUGAGCUCGCGGCCUAUCAGCUUGUUGGUGGGGUAAUGGCCUACCAAGGCGUCGACGGGUAGCCGGCCUGAGAGGGUGUACGGCCACAUUGGGACUGAGAGACGGCCCAGACUCCUACGGGAGGCAGCAGUGGGGAAUAUUGCACAAUGGGCGCAAGCCUGAUGCAGCGACGCCGCGUGGGGGAUGACGGCCUUCGGGUUGUAAACUCCUUUGGCUAGGGACGAAGCGUUUUUGUGACGGUACCUGGAGAAGAAGCACCGGCUAACUACGUG
rnacentral:rRNA from 1 species